GAAGUUGCAACGCUCCGACGGCAGGUGGCGUACGGCCAGAGCAGAGUGAAGUCGAGUCACUACAGAGUCGUCGUGUCGAGCGGACGUGUACUGCCGUUCUAGUCGGGCAGUCUACCGCGAACCAUCGUCAUGAGCGGACGUGUCGAAUAAUUACGAGGAGUGCUAUAGUCGCUCACCUAUAACUUGUAGGGACGUCAAGAAAGUGUGAUCGGAAAAGAGCACGUGUCCCGAUGAUUCGGUCCGAAUAUAGGAACCAUGGGUGGUGGAGGGCAAGUAGAGGGCGAGUAGCCCCUUCGCGCUAACGUCCUUAUGCGCGCUAGAUAACGAGAGACUGUGUAAUCGUUACGAAUACCGUGACGUUGCCGUGAGUGUGUACCUUAUGCUGUGACUUUAUUUAAUCGUGAUACAAAAACUAUGUGGAAGUAAAUAAAAUGAUUGUGAUACUGAUGACGGCCAUUAUUGUCUUCUAACGCCCACCCUCCAUUCUGAUGAUGAUGUUACGACCCGACACCCACUGUUACGACAUCAGAAGCGGGAUUAGUGGACUUGGAUGAAGACAAUGUGAUGCGACGUUCACAACAAGACAAUGUAAGUUUGGAUUAUCACAAUCAGAAGAAGAUUAUGAUGACUAUCACAUUCGUGUGACCACGUGAUGAAGAUGUAGUCUACAGCCAUGCCUGAAUUUGGAGAUGGACCUGAAUUUGAAGUGACCUGGACCUUGUUAAUGAUCGUCAUCACUACAUGCCGUGAGAUAUGAUGGCGUGAACAUCACAAUAUUUCCAUAUUGUGUGCAGUCGUGUUUGAAAAUGAUGGUACCUCAACUUGAAAACUGUUAUUACGGUGAGUCGUUUUCAUACUGGAACCUUAUUGUUAUUGAUUUCAUUGCUAUGUGAAUUUCCGUUUCUAAUGAUGAGGAAAUUGUUUUUAAAAAAAAAAACAAAAUUGACGAGACACAUUGUGUCAAUCCGUGUCAAUCACACCGCGUUUUCCAAUCUGUUUUCAUCAUCGUCAAAUCUUUGUAUUUUGGUCUAAAAAAUAUUUCGAAUUGGUGUAGACACGCUUAACCUGCGUGGUUAAAGUUGUAUUUUCUCACUCCAAGCAAAAAGAAAUUAAUCAUGACAUGAUAAUUGAGUCUCGUUAAAUAACGUGUUUUGUAAUCUUUUUAAACCGAUUGAAAGAAAGUCAUGUGAAUACGAUAAUACAGUGAAUUCUUUUGUUUCAUGUCAUAACUUGGUUCGGCAAUUGGUGGAUUGCAAGCGGGGAUGAAAAUGGCGCGGGCUGAGCUGUAGCCGUGUAAAGUGACGACAUCAUGGCAGCGCGUUGUAUACCAGCCGGACUUGCUGCGCUGGUGCUGUUGAAGACCUAAACCAUGUCACAAGACCAGUGGUUGAUCUUUUAUCGGAAAUUCUUAUAAGUCCCGGUGAGUCGUAUCUGUUUUACCUGAUUUGAAUAAUGGAAUUUUUAUUAGGUUUCAAACGAAUAUAGUGCAGAAAGUUCUCUUUUGUUAACUUUAAUUAAAUUGGAAAUCGUAAUGAAGUGAAGUAAACAUUGCGAAGUAAAAUGAUUUGGAUUAUGAUUAAAUGAAAUAGGCUUAAAAAAAAUGCCCGAAACAUUAAAUCAUUAGUGAGAAAAUUGGAGCAAAACAUUCUAAAUAAUGAUAAUACCGAAUUGGUAAUUGUUUAAAUGCGGUAAUGUUUCCUCGAGGUGUUGGUCGCUACACUGUGACUUUAUGACUUGUGUGUGUGAGAGCAGGGUGCUCUGUCGUUUUGUGGUCGUGGACCAUGGUGGCCAUCCCGGGAGGGGAUGUUGUGACUUAUGACUGUUUUGUAGCGUAACCACAGUUUGGGGAGGAAUAUUACAGUCUGUUGUGCUUUGCAGUAGAUGUGUAAUAAUGUUAAUUGAUUUAAUUGAGUAAUGAAAGCUAUGAUUGACCUGUUUCGGAGCAACUCUAAUAGGAAGCUGCGCACUUGUAGUGUUCGGGGCUGCAGCCACUUUUGUGCUGCUCGUCUUAGAAACUACAGGUAUGCGGUCGAAGCCUGGAUGUCAUGUUGACUUUGUAUUUGGUCAUGACAUUGUACCUGAAUCUAAGUCAAGUUGACCUCCGGUAGAAUUAGUCGAACUGCACAAAUUAGAAAUUAGUGAUAUAAAAGAAAUUGUGUAACGCAUUGACCACUAUUCUACCAACUAAAAUGUAAAGUUUGUGUGCUAGCUGUGUUGAGAUAUCGUCACUUGGUGCAAGUGGCAUGAGUUGCUGUCGCUCGAUUUAGGUGGCAGCAACGACUGUGUUGAGAUAUCGUCACUUGGUGUAAGUGGCAUGAGUUGCUGUCGCUCGAUUUAGGUGGCAGCAACGACUGUGUUGAGAUAUCGUCACUUGGUGUAAGUGGCAUGAGUUGCUACCGCUCGAUUUAGGUGGUAGUGACGCCUGGUUGUGAGAUAUCGUCACUCAGUAGAGUGGCAUGAGUUGCUACCGCUCGAUUUAGGUGGUAGUGACGCCUGGUUUUGAGAUAUCGUCGCUCAGUAGAGUGGCAUGAGUUACUAUCGCUCGUUUAGGUGAUAGUAACGACCGAUGUGUAAAGAGUAAUUGGAUUUUCAAGUUUGGUUGUUUAUAGUGUGUGAAUACUGGUCAAUGGUCCGUGUAUUGUUAGUUGAUGAUUUAUCAUGAUGUAAUGUGAGCUCGUGUAGAGUCACAAGUAGAGCUCGUGUAGAGUCACAAGUAGAGCUCGUGUAGAGUCACAAGUAGAGCUCGUGUAGAGUCACAAGUAGAGCUCGUGUAGAGUCACAAGUAGAGCUCGUGUAGAGUCACAAGUAGAGCUCAUGUAGAGUCACAAGUAGAGUUCGUGUAGAGUCACAAGUAGAGCUCGUGUAGAGUCACAAGUAGAGCUCGUGUAGAGUCACAAGUAGAGCUCGUGUAGAAUCACAAGUAGAGCUCGUGUAGAGUCACAAGUAGAGCUCGGGCAGAGUCCUUUAUAGAGUCUCGUGUUAGGUCAGGAAUGACCGAGCGUACUUGGAUACUGUGCUGUGGUAUAUUGUUUCAGAUUAACACACGAGGACGUGUGUCACGCAGGAUGGCCGUGUCGGAGUUAGUUAUGAAUUAAGAAGAGAAAUUGAUCAAAUCGGAAAAUAAAAUGAAGUUACAUCACUUCCGUCAUGAAGUUGCAACGCUCCGACGGCAGGUGGCGUACGGCCAGAGCAGAGUGAAGUCGAGUCACUACAGAGUCGUCGUGUCGAGCGGACGUGUACUGCCGUUCUAGUCGGGCAGUCUACCGCGAACCAUCGUCAUGAGCGGACGUGUCGAAUAAUUACGAGGAGUGCUAUAGUCGCUCACCUAUAACUUGUAGGGACGUCAAGAAAGUGUGAUCGGAAAAGAGCACGUGUCCCGAUGAUUCGGUCCGAAUAUAGGAACCAUGGGUGGUGGAGGGCAAGUAGAGGGCGAGUAGCCCCUUCGCGCUAACGUCCUUAUGCGCGCUAGAUAACGAGAGACUGUGUAAUCGUUACGAAUACCGUGACGUUGCCGUGAGUGUGUACCUUAUGCUGUGACUUUAUUUAAUCGUGAUACAAAAACUAUGUGGAAGUAAAUAAAAUGAUUGUGAUACUGAUGACGGCCAUUAUUGUCUUCUAACGCCCACCCUCCAUUCUGAUGAUGAUGUUACGACCGA